UAACUGUAAAGAAGAGAAGAAUGCACGCUUUUAUCAUUCUAAACCUCGUUGUUCUAACUAUUCUUAACUACACCUCUAGCGUUGGUUGUAGUGUAGUAGAGGACCAGGGUAAGAAUUGGGAAGAUCUGGAGAAAAGUCUUGAAUCCCUUAACGGACAUUAUCAUCAAGAGAAGAGAAGUCUCCUCCCUGAAAUUGAAAAUAUUGGAAACCCAAUGUUGAUGUCCUGUGANGGGG